GACGAACGCUGGCGGCGUGCUUAACACAUGCAAGUCGAACGGAAAGGCCCUGCUUUUGUGGGGUGCUCGAGUGGCGAUCGUGUGAGUAACACGUGAGUAACCUGCCCUUGACUUUGGUAUAACUUCAGGAAACUGGUGCUAAUACCGGAUAGGAGCUCCUUCUGCAUGGUGGGGGUUGGAAAGUUUCGGCGGUUGGGGAUGGACUCGCGGCUUAUCAGCUUGUUGGUGGGGUAGUGGCUUACCAAGGCUUUGACGGGUAGCCGGCCUGAGAGGGUGACCGGCCACAUUGGGACUGAGAUACGGCCCAGAGUGCUACGGGAGGCAGCAGUGGGGAAUAUUGCACAAUGGGCGGAAGCCUGAUGCAGAAACGCCGCGUGCGGGAUGACGGCCUUCGGGUUGUAAACCGCUUUAGCCUGUGACGAAGCGUGAGUGACGGUAAUGGGUAAAGAAGCACCGGCUAACUACGUG
rnacentral:rRNA from 1 species